rnacentral:rRNA from 1 species
GUGGGGAAUAUUGGACAAUGGGCGAAAGCCUGAUCCAACCAUGCCGCGUGUGUGAAGAAGGUCUUCGGAUUGUAAAGCACUUUAAGUUGGGAGGAAGGGCAGUAAGUUAAUACCUUGCUGUUUUGACGUUACCGACAGAAUAAGCACCGGCUAACUUCGUGCCAGCAGCCGCGGUAAUACGAAGGGUGCAAGCGUUAAUCGGAAUUACUGGGCGUAAAGCGCGCGUAGGUGGUGUUGUAAGUUGGAGGUGAAAUCCCCGGGCUCAACCUGGGAACUGCCUCCAAAACUGCAUGACUAGAAUACGGUAGAGGGUAGUGGAAUUGCCUGUGUAGCGGUGAAAUGCGUAGAUAUAGGAAGGAACACCAGUGGCGAAGGCGACUACCUGGACUGAUACUGACACUGAGGUGCGAAAGCGUGGGGAGCAAACAGGAUUAGAAACCCUAGUAGUCC